CCAUAUCACCUUGUCAAUGCCCACUCUCAGCUGAUCUCAGAAGCUAAGCAGGGUUGCGCCUGGUUAGUACUUGAAUAGGAGAUCACUGGGAAUACCAGGUG
rnacentral:rRNA from 1 species